GCCAGUGUGCCUAGUGGUUUGAGUGUUGUACUAUGACUGGAGACUAGGGUUCGAAUCCCUGUUUGGCC